rnacentral:lncRNA from 1 species
CAGGGAAGGAGCUAUGAGCCAGAAAUCACAGACAGAAGCCAAAAUGUGCGUAUCCCACUACCCAGCCUUCUGCUGGUGGAUCAGUGGGCAGCCUUUAACAAGAGGCUGUCUCUGUUAGGUGCAUGAUCCGAAGUCAGCUCUCUUGUGAGGCCAGGGAGCAGCUCCCCCAGACUCUUCCCUCCUACAUCCACCUGCCCUUCAGUUUAUGGUGAAAUCUUAGUUUCCCAGGCCCUGUGUAGGUCAGUGGCACCGCGCCUCCCUUGCAAGCACAAGGUCCUGAAUUCGAUCCCUGGUACCAAAGGAAAAAAAAUCCACCUCCUUCAAAGUGCUCUCCUGACUUGGAGCAUCCUGAUCCUACCGUCCUUGCCACUGCUGAAGUCCCCUUUGGUGUGUGGCGAAUGCUGCUGCUGAGCGCCAUCCGGCGGAAAGGCAGCCCACCCACCUUACAGCACCUGGCACUGUGUGGCUUCUGGCUCUUCCCCAACAUCAGAAUAACCACGAAAGGCGAUCCUCUCCAGGACCCACCCUUGGAAGCCUGAAUCCAUCAGUGUGAGCGUGCCACGAGUGACUCCAUUCUGCUCAAGACAAUUUCCCCACUGUGAAUCAACUGCGCUGCGUCCUGAGAGCCUAGAGAAGCAGCGUGCGGGGCAAGGCUGUAAGGAAUCCACCGAGUGCUGCUGCGCUGUGGGUGUCAUGCUGCAGAAAGGUGCUUGCUUAGCGUGUGAUCUCCAGCACUGCAAUAAAUAAGUAAACAAACAUCGAAACAUUUUUUAAAAAGGAAUUUGUUUAGUGAAUGAAAGCUCUGGUCCGGGCUGGUCUGCAGCAAGUGUCCAUGCAAAACUGGAUGAUGUGCCCUGGGAGCUCACCCGCUACGGGCUAAAGUAUUUAAUACAAUAUUUAAAAAUUCUGCACUGAUGCCCAGAACUCCAUGAAAACCCCAUCUCAUGAUGUCAAAUCGACAUGGGCUCUGAGCCUGCCCUAGUCCUGGCAAUGAGUACUAAGCACAGUCCAUGUUGCAUGGAGGCACUGCCAUCCUGAGAUGGACAGGAG